UUUAAACCAAGAACAAAAGACUACAAUUAUGAAUACUACUAGUGUUCAUAAAAUUGAAGGUCCAUUAGCCUAUCAGACUGUGGACCAAACAAGUUCUUCUCAAGGGCAACAGAAUGUUGUUUAUACUUUGGUAACUACUAUGAUAGAACAUUUUUGUGGUAGAUGGACAGAUGAGGCAGAGACUAUUAGAACAACUUUGCAAAAUC
rnacentral:lncRNA from 1 species